UGCUGCUGGUUCUCUAGGGAACAUUGUGCACACUUGUCAUCUUUAUAUCUCCACCUGUGCACCUUUUGUAGACCUGGAUAUCUCUCUGAGUGCUGGUCACUCAGGUUUGANRAUUGACUUUAUGUCUCUCUUCACAUUUCCAGGCCUAUGUUCUUUAUAUACCCCAAUGUAUGUUAUAGAAUGUAAUCAAUGGCCUUUGUGCCUAUAAACCUAUACAACUUUCAGCAACGGAUCUCUUGGCUCUCGCAUCGAUGAAGAACGCAGCGAAAUGCGAUAAGUAAUGUGAAUUGCAGAAUUCAGUGAAUCAUCGAAUCUUUGAACGCACCUUGCGCUCCUUGGUAUUCCGAGGAGCAUGCCUGUUUGAGUGUCAUUAAUAUAUCAACUUCUUCAGCUUUUGCUUGUUGAGUGUUGGAUGUGGGGGCCUUUUUUGCUGGUCUUUCUAAGGUCAGCUCCCCUGAAAUGCAUUAGCGGAACAAUUUGUGGACCGUUCAUUGGUGUGAUAACUAUCUACGCUAUUGACGUGAAGCAGUUCAGCUUCUAACAGUCCAUUGACUUGGACAAAUUUUCAUUAAUGUGACCUCAAAUCAGGUAGGACUACCCGCUGAACUUAAGCAUA
rnacentral:rRNA from 1 species